UUCCAGUCUCCCCUACCGCACUCAAGCCCGCCCGUACCCGGCGCGGAUCCACCGUUAAGCGAUGGACUUUCACACCGGACGCGACGAACCGCCUACGAGCCCUUUACGCCCAAUAAUUCCGGAUAACGCUUGCACCCUACGUAUUACCGCGGCUGCUGGCACGUAGUUAGCCGGUGCUUAUUCGAAAGGUACACUCACCCCGAAGGGCUUGCUCCCAGUCAAAAGCGGUUUACAACCCGAAGGCCGUCAUCCCGCACGCGGCGUCGCUGCAUCAGGCUUGCGCCCAUUGUGCAAUAUUCCCCACUGCUGCCUCCCGUAGGAGUCUGGGCCGUAUCUCAGUCCCAAUGUGGCCGGUCGCCCUCUCAGGCCGGCUACCCGUCGAAGCCAUGGUGGGCCGUUACCCCGCCAUCAAGCUGAUAGGACGCGACCCCAUCCCAUACCGAUAGAAUCUUUCCCAGAAGGACAUGCAUCCAACUGGAG
rnacentral:rRNA from 1 species